GUUCUCUUGGCAGCGUCUCAGGCUGUCUGGACCAGCUGUCACAGUCUCGCUGUGGGUGAGUCACCUGAGGCACUGUAUGGCGGAUAGAAGGAUUCAUUGCCCUGGGAGGUUUUGCCUGGCAUUCUGCAGAAGCAUUGCUGUAUCUUACCAGACAGGAAUACAGAGUCGCAGUGCACGCUCUGCGGGGAGCCGGAAGGCAGAACAUGACGGAGAUGCGCAGGAAUGGCAAAGUACGAGGGGAAAACAGAC
rnacentral:lncRNA from 1 species